rnacentral:rRNA from 1 species
GACGAACGCUGGCGGCGUGCUUAACACAUGCAAGUCGAACGGAAAGGCCCUGCUUUUGUGGGGUGCUCGAGUGGCGAACGGGUGAGUAACACGUGAGUAACCUGCCCCUGACUUUGGGAUAACUUCAGGAAACUGGGGCUAAUACCGGAUAUGAUCUCCUGCUGCAUGGUGGGGGUUGGAAAGUUUCGGCGGUUGGGGAUGGACUCGCGGCUUAUGAGCUUGUUGGUGGGGUAGUGGCUUACCAAGGCUUUGACGGGUAGCCGGCCUGAGAGGGUGACCGGCCACAAUGGGACUGAGAUACGGCCCAGACUCCUACGGGAGGCAGCGGGGGGAAGUAUUGCACAAUGGGCGGAAGCCUGAUGCAGCAGCGCCGCGUGCGGGAUGACGGCCUACGGGUUGUGAACCGCUUUCGCCUGUGACGAAGCGUGAGUGACGGUAAUGGGUAAAGAAGCACCGGCUAACUACGUG